UCUCACUUUCUCUGUGUGUGUGUGUGUGUGUCUCUCUCUCUCUCUCUCUUCCAAAGCCCUCGACUGAUCUUCAUCGAACUAGAUCAAAGACACAUUCUCUCUCUCUCUCUCUCUCGCUCGAUUGCAGAUUUUGCAUUGUAUAUUCGUCGAACUCUCUGUUGCUCUUCAUCGAUCUGUCGCUGGAGGACUUUGAUCAGUCUCUUCAUCAAACUCGAACUCAUACUCGAUCUGUUCUUCAUCAAAUCGCAGAUAAUCGAUAUCAUUCUCGAACUAGAUCGAUCUCUGUUGCUCUUAUCUCAGGUUUUAGGUGAAAAAGAAGCAAUUUUUCAUGCUCAGAUUAGAUCAGAUCAGAUUGUUGAACAAGAUCGAUCUCUCUCGCUCUUCAUCUCAGGUUCACAUAUCAAAGAAAGGAAACAGGACAAAUGCCAGUUCAAAAGAGGCUCUUAGAAUUCAUACUUGCUGCAUUCCAUCGAUCUUCUGAUUUUGUUGCACUUUUGAAGGUAUUCUCUGGACCAAAUUAUGCCUAAGCUUUUCGGUUGCAAGUCAAUUAUGUUGGAGCUUUAUUGCAAGUCAAUUAUUUUAAUGGCUGUGAAUGGUAAGACACCAUUACAAUUAAUGGUAAGUGAAAUAAAUAAAUAAACAAAAUAGCAGUUCUCUCUCAGUCUUUCUCUCCUAUACAUUUUAACUCCAACCCAAUUCAAUCGGUGAAUCUGUGUUUCUUUGUUAUCUAAUCUAUGGAUUUUCAACUGAGUCCUGGCUCCAUCUCUCCACAACUCAAGGUAAUUUCUUGCUUCUUUUUCAGUGCUCUAAUCAAAUAUUUACAUUUCUACCAUGAUCUCAGCUCUUUCUUUUUCUUUCCUUUUUUUUUGCAAUCAGUAAUAUGUUAACUUGAGCUCAAAUACACCUUUUUUUGGGUCAUUAUUACAUUUGUGUAAUUUUAUCUGACAUGUAUGGUUAUUUGGAUUUGUGCCUUCUUUUUCUGCUUAAUCUCUUUGAUUUCUUUGGUUUUUGCGGUUAGUGAUUAUAUUUUGUGUAUAGAAUAGUUAGUUGCCUUGCCUUUCAUUACCCAGAUUUCUUUCUAAACUAAUAGGAUUUGCUCUGAAUCAGCUCAGGAGUUUUAUGUUGUUUCCCCCUCGCCCAGGACCAAAACAUGUACAGCCUUGGUGCAGGGGAAAUUUCAGCCACAGUUGGACACCUGCUUCAAGAUGCAAUACUUAUAAAUACCAUACUCAAUAACUAAUUAUGUUGUACCAAUAAAAGAAUGGAAAGCAAGGUUUUAAAUAACAGUGUCGCGAUAUGUAUUGGUAUUGGUGUUGCAGUCAUGUAUCGGCCAAUAUCAGACAUUAUCAACUGAUAUAUUGAUGAAUAAUGGUAUCAAAAGUCCAAAAUCCUAGGUACCCAACGAUCAACACUAUACAUAACAGCUAAUAUUUAAAACCCUGGUGGAAAGUAUACAGAAGAUUUUUAAAAAAUUAGAGAAAAAGGUUUUCUACAAGGUUAGAAGCAAGAUCUGACCUUGGGAGUAAUGAAAAUUUUCCUCCCUGGUUUCUUUGCAAAUAGAUGUUUCAUAUUAAUAAUUUGAUUUUUUUUUUUCAGACCAUUGGUUAGAGGUCUUAACAUAGUGAAGCUGUUGGCAUUUUAUGUAUUCUCAAAUCCCAUCACCAUGAUAUUUUUUACUCCAUUCCCGACUUGCUGAUGUGCAGGAGACUUGGUAGCAUACAACCCUUCUGUCAUUUCAAAGCCUUGGAGUAGUUUUUUGUUGUUUGAGUAUUGCUCCCUUAUUUGUAUUUGGAACCAUUGGCACAGAGACUAUCGAAUCCGUUGACAGGAUACAUGAGCUCUUUUCCUUUUGUGUUUUGGACUCUGACCAUCAUUCCUUUAUUGAAGUAUGCCUUAAUAGUAUUGAGGGCUGAUUAUGCUGGAGAGGGCAUGCCAAAGUGGGUCUGCUUCCAAAUGAUAAAAAUACCAAUGACAUUAUGCGCUUUGAGGAGCAAACCCCUUCCAAUAUCGAGGUGGAAUCAAGGGCUAGAAGGGCCAUUGAAAAACAUAAAAGUAGUCACUAUUUGAUGUUGGUCGUUGCUUCUUUCAUGACAGUUGGUGAUGGAAUUCUUACACCAGCUUUAUCUGUACUGUCGGCUUCAUCAGGCCUUGGAAGAUCAUUGGCAGAUAUUUCAUAUCAAUGGAGAAACAGACGAUAGAAGGCCAGGGGGGAGCAGAGGAAAGCAAAGGAAGGCUAUACCUGGAUGCCGAAGGGUGAGAGCAGUGAGAUUAGUGAUCAAUUUAGGCAAAUAAUGCAUAUAUUUUCCCUGGAUUUGGUUUGCGUUUGGUCAUCUCUAGUACAAUUCGUGUACACGAUGAAAUGCUUCUGGCAGCCUCAGAGGCUUUGGCUGAGCAAGUAACAAAAGAGAAUUUGGACAAGAGUUUGAUCUAUCCACCAUUCUCUAAUAUCAGAAAGAUCUCUGGCCACAUUGCUGCUAAAGCAUAUGAACUUG